UUUGAAUUGGCCACUUGGAAAAACAAAGAGUCGAGUUGUAGCUUUUGGAAACAGAUUUUCUAGCCACUAGUCGCAGUCAAAGUUCUUUUGAAUAAGACAUCAAAGAGGGUGACAAUCCCGUCCUUGGUUGUGAUUGAUUAAAAACAAGUGGUGAUGCGAACUGUUUUCUGUGAGUCGGGUUGUUUGGGAAUGCAGCCCUAAUUGGGAGGUAAAUUUCUUCCAAAGCUAAAUAUUAGUAAGAGACCGAUAGCAAACAAGUACCGUGAGGGAAAGAUGAAAAGCACUUUGAAAAGAGAGUGAAAAGUACGUGAAAUUGUUGAAAGGGAAGCGGUUGGUAGCCAAGCAUUUUCACUGCGGCUGGGGCAUUUAUGUCACGGCUGCGGAGAAGGUCAACAUCGAUUGCUUAAUAAAACGGCCAGAAAGGAGAUUGUGCGAGCUGAUUGAGGAAGGUAGGGAGACUAGCCACGUGGACGGAACUGGGCAACCUUUCGGGGGAGCUUAGGAAAGACUGCGAGUCAUGGAGAGUUUCUUGUUAUAGCCUCAGCGAGUGCGCUUUAAUAAGCUUUUGUGGUUGUGGCGAUCGAGGACAGCAGUGCGUGAUCAGGAAGGAGAAAUGGCGAGCAGGGGGGAUUCGUUUCCUUUGCAAGGCGUUUUUUUUAUCUGGUGGGCCCUUAAUGGUAUCUGAUACUGUGGCAACCAAAAGAAUUUAUUUUCCAGUAGACAGCUUGCUGACUAUUGGUGGUUUAUUUGGCCAUGUAUUUUGGAGACUAUUGGGACUAACAAGCACUUUGGAUGUUGGCGAAAAGGCACUAAUCGACCCGUCUUGAAACACGGACCAAGGAGUCCAACAUGCAUGCGAGUAUAUGGGAGGUGAAGCCGAGCAAUCGGCUCCAAAAUAAACCCACGUGCGCAAUGAAAGUGACCAAGUAGAAACUUUUACUAGAAUGUUACCGGGAGAGACACCUGGACAACAUCGACCGACCUUCGAUAGCGCUGCUUGAAGAGGUUGAGUAAGAGCAUGUAUGCUGGGACCCGAAAGAUGGUGAACUAUGCCUGAAUAGGGUGAAGUCAGAGGAAACUCUGAUGGAGGCUCGUAGAGAUUCUGACGUGCAAAUCGAUCUCCAAAUUUGGGUAUAGGGGCGAAAGACUAAUCGAACCAUCUAGUAGCUGGUUCCUGCCGAAGUUUCCCUCAGGAUAGCAGAGACUGGAAGUUAUAUAAGCAGUUUUAUGAGGUAAAGCGAAUGAUUAGAGGCCUUGGGGAUGUAACAUCCUUAACCUAUUCUCAAACUUUGAAUGCGUAAGAAGCCCCAGUUGCUUAAUUUGAACUGAGUGGCGGUAUUUUUAUAAAAUUGAAUGCAUCAGUCUCUAGUGGGCCAUUUUUGGUAAGCAGAACUGGCGAUGCGGGAUGAACCGAACGUAGAGUUAAGGUGCCCAAAUGCACGCUCAUUUAGACACCAUAAAAGGUGUUAGUUCAUCUAGACAGCAGGGCGGUGGCCAUGGAAGUCGGAAUCCGCUAAGGAGUGUGUAACAACUCACCUGCCGAAUGAACUAGCCCUGAAAAUGGAUGGCGCUCAAGCGUGCUACCGAUACUCUACCGUCAAAGUUAGCUGGGGGUUUCUCUUUUUAAGAGAAGAUCUCAAGACAACGCUUUGACGAGUAGGCAGGCGUGGAGGUUUUAAGUAGAGAAGCCAUGGGCGUGAGCCCUGGUGGAACAGCC
rnacentral:rRNA from 1 species